rnacentral:tRNA from 1 species
GUUGGUGGCCUAAUAAAAAAGGCAUCGGUUUCCGGAUCCGAAGAUUGAGGGUUCGAGUCUCUUCCACGACG